rnacentral:rRNA from 1 species
AUACGGAGGAUGCAAGCGUUAUCCGGAUUUAUUGGGUUUAAAGGGUGCGCAGGCGGCCAUUUAAGUCAGCGGUUAAAUCGUGGGGCUCAACCCCAUUCUGCCGUUGAUACUGGGUGGCUUGAUUGCGGUCGAGGUUGGCGGAAUUCGUUGUGUAGCGGUGAAAUGCAUAGAUAUGACGAAGAACACCGAUUGCGUAGGCAGCUGACCAGACCGCAAAUGACGCUCAUGCACGAAAGUGCGUGGAUCGAACAGGAUUAGAUACCCUGGUAGUCCGCACAGUAAACGAUGAAUACUUGUUUUCGGCGAUAUAAUGUCGGAGGCAAAGCGAAAGCGAUAAGUAUUCCACCUGGGGAGUACGCCGGCAACGGUGAAACUCAAAUGAAUUGACGGGG